UACGUAGGGUGCGAGCGUUGUCCGGAAUUAUUGGGCGUAAAGAGCUCGUAGGCGGUGUGUCGCGUCGGCCGUGAAAACCUGCAGCUUAACUGUGGGCUUGCGGUCGAUACGGGCAUCACUGGAGUUCAGCAGGGGAGACUGGAAUUCCUGGUGUAGCGGUGAAAUGCGCAGAUAUCAGGAGGAACACCGGUGGCGAAGGCGGGUCUCUGGGCCGAUACUGACGCUGAGGAGCGAAAGCGUGGGGAGCGAACAGG
rnacentral:rRNA from 1 species